rnacentral:tRNA from 1 species
AAGGGUAUAGCUCAGUAGUAGACUGUGUCCCUAGAAUGUACAAGGUCCUGGGUUCGAUCCCCAGUACCUUCA